rnacentral:rRNA from 1 species
GAUGAACGCUGGCGGCGUGCCUAAUACAUGCAAGUCGAGCGAACGGACGAGAAGCUUGCUCCUCUGAUGUUAGCGGCGGACGGGUGAGUAACACGUGGAUAACCUACCUAUAAGACUGGGAUAACUUCGGGAAACCGGAGCUAAUACCGGAUAAUAUUUUGAACCGCAUGGUUCAAAAGUGAAAGACGGUCUUGCUGUCACUUAUAGAUGGAUCCGCGCUGCAUUAGCCAGUUGGUAAGGUAACGGCUUACCAAGGCAACGAUGCGUAGCCGACCUGAGAGGGUGAUCGGCCACACUGGAACUGAGACACGGUCCAGACUCCUACGGGAGGCAGCAGUAGGGAAUCUUCCGCAAUGGGCGAAAGCCUGACGGAGCAACGCCGCGUGAGUGAUGAAGGUCUUCGGAUCGUAAAACUCUGUUAUUAGGGAAGAACAUAUGUGUAAGUAACUGUGCACGUCUUGACGGUACCUAAUCAGAAAGCCACGGCUAACUACGUG